AAUGAACGCUGGCGGUGUGCCUAAUACAUGCAAGUCGAGCGAACGCACGGUAAGCUCGUGUUCUUAAGGUUAGCGGCGGACGGGCGAGUAACACGUGCAUCAGCAACUUAUAUGUCGUGGGUAAUAACGGGAGACAAGUGACACUACCGGCUCAUACUUCGAACGGCAUGAAUCAAAGGUGCAUGAGGCCCUUCCCGUCUCAUUUAGCCGAUGUCGGAUUAGCUAGUUGGCGGGGUAAAGGCCCACCAAGGCGACGAUGCGUAGCUGGUCUGAGAGGAUGAUCAGCCACACUGGAACUGAGACACGGUCCAGACUCCUACGGGAGGCAGCAGUGGGGAAUAUUGGACAAUGGGCGCAAGCCUGAUCCAGCCAUACCGCGUGGGUGAAGAAGGCCUUCGGGUUGUAAAGCCCUUUUGUUGGGAAAGAAAAGCAGCAGGUUAAUACCCCGCUGUUCUGACGGUACCCAAAGAAUAAGCACCGGCUAACUUCGUG
rnacentral:rRNA from 1 species